rnacentral:tmRNA from 1 species
GGGGCCGAUCAGGAUUCGACGGGGAUCGCGAAACCCAAGGUGCAUGCCGAGGUGCGGUUGGCCUCGUAAAAAAACCGCAAACUAAUAGUCGCAAACGACGAAAACUACGCACUCGCUGCCUAAUAAGCAGUAGAGAGCCCUUCCCCCUUAGCCCGCCUGUCGGCUUUGGAUCAGGAAGGUCAAACCAGACAGGAUCGCGUGGCGGCUUCGCCUGGAGCCAAGACGUUAAAACCAAUCAGGCUCGCUACCUGACAGCCUGUCGACCGGCGUUCUACGUAGUUAACUAAAAGAUCGACUAAGCAUGUAGUACCGAGGAUGUAGGGUUCACGGACGGGGGUUCAAAUCCCCCCGGCUCCACCA